UGAUACUAAGCCAUGCGAGUCAUUGCAGUAAUGCAAGGCAGACGGCUCAGUAACGCGUAGUCAACCUACCCUAUGGACGGGAAUAACCUCGGGAAACUGAGUAUAAUGCCCGAUAGAACACUACUCCUGGAAUGGUUUGUGUUCCAAAUGAUUUAUCGCCGUAGGAUGGGACUGCGGCCUAUCAGUUUGUUGGUGAGGUAAUGGCCCACCAAGACUAUUACAGGUACGGGCUCUGAGAGGAGUAGCCCGGAGAUGGGUACUGAGACACGGACCCAGGCCCUAUGGGGCGCAGCAGGCGAGAAAACUUUGCAAUGUGCGAAAGCACGACAAGGUUAAUCCGAGUGGUUUGUGCUAAACGAACCUUUUGACAGUCCUAGAAACACUGUUGAAUAAGGGGUGGGCAAGUUCUGGUGUCAGCCGCCGCGGUAAAACCAGCACCUCAAGUGGUCAGGAUGAUUAUUGGGCCUAAAGCAUCCGUAGCCGGCUCUGUAAGUUUUCGGUUAAAUCUGUACGCUCAACGUACAGGCUGCCGGGAAUACUGCAGAGCUAGGGAGUGGGAGAGGUAGACGGUACUCGGUAGGAAGGGGUAAAAUCCUUUGAUCUAUUGAUGACCACCUGUGGCGAAGGCGGUCUACCAGAACACGUCCGACGGUGAGGGAUGAAAGCUGGGGGAGCAAACCGGAUUAGAUACCCGGGUAGUCCCAGCUGUAAACUAUGCAAACUCAGUGAUGCAUUGGCUUGUGGCCAAUGCAGUGCUGCAGGGAAGCCGUUAAGUUUGCCGCCUGGGAAGUACGUACGCAAGUAUGAAACUUAAAGGAAUUGGCGGGGGAGCACCACAAGGGGUGAAGCCUGCGGUUCAAUUGG
rnacentral:rRNA from 1 species